GGAAGAGGAUGGGGCCUGGUGGCCCCCGCGGCCUUCAAAGCCGUUGGCGCCCCCUAAAGGCGCGGAGGGUUCGAUUCCUUCCCCUUCCG
rnacentral:tRNA from 1 species